ACACCACAGGAGCACAUCGGGUCGGCAGGUGUGAACUACAAGCUGUUAACCAGUGCAAAGAAGGAAGAAUGACUGAGGGAUGCCACUUGGGGCUUCCUGCAUUUGUUAGGUAAGGAGGGUACAUCUGAUUUGCAUCCAUGCAUCAACUGAGUGAUGGUAUAACCUCUCUUCCUGGUCCAAGCCGAGGAGGCUGCGUCAAUAGAGGCCCUUAAACAUUCCAUCCAGCUCAGUGUGAAAAUGUUGCCAUGGAGGUCCUGGCUCGGCCCCUCCAGUUGAGUCCCGUGGAGGCCCCUGCUUCGACGCUGCCCUCGGCCGGCUCGUCACGUUUGCGUAGUUUGGUGCUGAGGCGGAUGAUGCACUGGUCCCAGUCCUCCGGAAGGAGCAGCAUGAGAAAGCCCAAACAGAUGAUGGAGACGGCAAAGAGGCGCACCGUGUUGAAAUUAAUCUCACACGUGAAGAAGUCCACCACUGGAACACUUAGGACGAUGCCAAGGGAGAUAGACUUUGGAUAUGUUAUGGCGAUGCCAAAGUUGACCAGGAUGUUGAAAGCUGUUUGAAGAAGCAGAACGAGAGCAAAAGUAAUUAUGGUAAAACACGAUAAUAGAUCGCAGAGAUUCUUUUUUUUUUUACCUAAAAGCAGUGCUGCAACACCACAG